rnacentral:rRNA from 1 species
AACGUAGGACGCAAGCGUUAUCCGGAAUUACUGGGCGUAAAGCGCGUGUAGGUGGUUGCAUAAGUCACUGUUGAAAGCUCCCGGCUAAACUGGGAGAGGUGCGGUGAGACUGUGCGGCUAGAGUGUGGAAGAGGGGUGCAGAAUUCCGGGUGUAGUGGUGAAAUGCGUAGAGAUCCGGAGGAAUACCAGAGGCGAAGGCGGCACCCUGGUCCAAGACUGACACUGAGACGCGAAAGCAUGGGGAGCGAACAGG